rnacentral:rRNA from 1 species
UACGGAAGGCAGCAGUGGAGAAUAUUGCACAAUGGGCGAAAGCCUGAUGCAGCUAUGCCGCGUGUAUGAAGAAGGCCUUAGGGUUGUAAAGUACUUUCAUCGGGGAGGAAAAAACAAAACUAAUAAUUUUAUUUCUUGACGUUACCCGAAAAAGAAGCACCGGCUAACUCCGUGCCAGCAGCCGCGGUAAUACGGAGGGUGCUAGCGUUAAUCAGAAUUACUGGGCGUAAAGAGCACGUAGGUGGUUUUUUAAGUCAGAUGUGAAAUCCCUGGGCUUAACCUGGAACUGCAUUUUGAAACUGAAAUACUAGAGUAUCGUAGAGGGAGGUAGAAUUCUAGGUGUAGCGGUGAAAUGCGUAGAUAUCUGGAGGAAUACCUGUGGCGAAAGCGGCCUCCUAAACGAAUACUGACACUGAGGUGCGAAAGCGUGGGGAGCAAACAGGGAUUAGAUACC